rnacentral:rRNA from 1 species
AUGCCGUAUUAAGGCGAAACCGCGAAUGGCUCAUUAAAUCAGUUAUGGUUCCUUGGAUCGUACCUUUCUACUUGGAUAACUGUGGCAAUUCUAGAGCUAAUACAUGCAGCAGAGCUCCGACCUUCGUGGACGAGCGCUUUUAUUAGACCAAAACCGAUCGGACUCUGUCCGUCUCUUGUGGUGACUCUGUAUAACUUUGGGCUGAUCGCACGGGCCCGUCCCGGCGACGUAUCUUUCAAGUGUCUGCCUUAUCAACUUUCGAUGGUAGGUUACGCGCCUACCAUGGUCGUAACGGGUAACGGGGAAUCAGGGUUCGAUUCCGGAGAGGGAGCCUGAGAAACGGCUACCACAUCCAAGGAAGGCAGCAGGCGCGCAAAUUACCCACUCCCAGAACGGGGAGGUAGUGACGAAAAAUAACGAUACGGGACUCUUUUGAGACCCCGUAAUUGGAAUGAGUACACUCUAAACCCUUUAACGAUGAUCCAUCGGAGGGCAAGUCUGAUGCCAGCCGCCGCGGUAACUUCAGCUCCGAUAGCGUAUAUUAAAGUUGUUGCGGUUAAAAAGCUCGUAGUUGGAUCUCAGUUCCAGACGGGUGGUCCUCCUACCGGGGGUUACUGCCUGUUCUGAACAGCCAGCCGGUUUCUCUUGAUGAUCUUCACCGGUUGUCUUGGGUGACCGGCAAGUUUACUUUGAAAAAAUUAGAGUGCUCAAAGCAGGCGUGACGCCUGAAUAAUGGUGCAUGGAAUAAUGGAAUAGGACCUCAGUUCUAUUUUGUUGGUUUUCGGAACACGAGGUAAUGAUUAAGAGGGACAGACGGGGGCAUUCGUAUUGCGACGCUAGAGGUGAAAUUCUUGGACCGUCGCAAGACGAACUACUGCGAAAGCAUUUGCCAAGAAUGUUUCCAUUAAUCAAGAACGAAAGUUAGAGGUUCGAAGGCGAUCAGAUACCGCCCUAGUUCUAACCAUAAACGAUGCCAGCCAGCGAUCCGGCUGUGUUCCUCAAAUGACACGCCGGGCAGCUUYCGGGAAACCAAAGCCUUUGGGUUCCGGGGGAAGUAUGGUUGCAAAGCUGAAACUUAAAGGAAUUGACGGAAGGGCACCACCAGCAAUGGAGCCUGCGGCUUAAUUUGACUCAACACGGGAAAACUUACCCGGCCCGGACACAGGAAGGAUUGACAGAUUGAGAGCUCUUUCUUGAUUCUGUGGGUGGUGGUGCAUGGCCGUUYUUAGUUGKUGGAGCGAUUUGUCUGGUCAAUUCCGAUAACGAGCGAGACUCUAGCCUACUAAAUAGACGUUCCGAUCCUUCUCGUCGGA